GCCAUAAUUGACACUAAUCUAGAUUCAGUAACUUUAAGAGUGAAGAACUCUCAUCCCUACCAUAAAGUUUAUUUUUAAUAACAAGCUUCCUCAGAGAUACGUAUAGAAAGUCUAAACUAUUUUGGCAGUACAAUCAGCUUGAUAAGAGCAACUUUUUAAUUUUAACUUUUUCAAACUUAAUUCACUUUGCAGGAAGAGACAACUGGUUAUGAACUAAGUCAAAGCCUCAGGUAAAGUACAAGUUCUUCUAGAUAGGGGAAUUAAGCAUGCAGAUCCUAAAAUUCCUAGAGAACACCGCAGGAUGCCUGCUGGACCAUUUGCCGCACCGUUCUGAAAACCGGCAUUUGUUCAGGGAAUGCUUUGCUGGAAAUAAGCUCAGGUAGUAUGGGAGCACCUAACCUAGCCUGAGCUGAGUCUUACCAGACGGAUGGGCAGAGGAUGAGGGGAAGGGAUUCCAGACAGAAGGAUCAAAUGGAUUAGAAAAGCCACAGGAUCCUUGAAAUAGUCAUUAGUAUGGGGAAUAUGUAAGAAGAGAGGACGGGAACAUUUUGAAGAGAAGCAGCUCAGGAGAGGUUGAAACUAGGGAGAAGUUAAGACUCAUCGCAAAGCAGUAUGGAGAAAAAGAACAACUUGGGUCAAAGAUGAAGCCCUAGGAAACACCAACAGGUAAAGGUUGAACAAGCGCUGUCUUGAGGAAGACCAACA